rnacentral:rRNA from 1 species
GAUGUAACGACGGCUGAUCUAGCUGAUUCCUGAUCGAGAAGGACGGUGGUGAUGGAUAUCUGCAGAAUGCCCCCUGGAGAGUUGGAUCCUGGCUCAGAUUGAACGCUGGCGGCAGGCCUAACACAUGCAAGUCGAACGGUAACAGGAAGCAGCUUGCUGCUUCGCUGACGAGUGGCGGACGGGUGAGUAAUGUCUGGGAAACUGCCUGAUGGAGGGGGAUAACUACUGGAAACGGUAGCUAAUACCGCAUAAUGUCGCAAGACCAAAGAGGGGGACCUUCGGGCCUCUUGCCAUCGGAUGUGCCCAGAUGGGAUUAGCUAGUAGGUGGGGUAGCGGCUCACCUAGGCGACGAUCCCUAGCUGGUCUGAGAGGAUGACCAGCCACACUGGAACUGAGACACGGUCCAGACUCCUACGGGAGGCAGCAGUGGGGAAUAUUGCACAAUGGGCGCAAGCCUGAUGCAGCCAUGCCGCGUGUAUGAAGAAGGCCUUCGGGUUGUAAAGUACUUUCAGCGGGGAGGAAGGCGACAAGGUUAAUAACCUUGUCGAUUGACGUUACCCGCAGAAGAAGCACCGGCUAACUCCGUGCCAGCAGCCGCGGUAAUACGGAGGGUGCAAGCGUUAAUCGGAAUUACUGGGCGUAAAGCGCACGCAGGCGGUCUGUCAAGUCGGAUGUGAAAUCCCCGGGCUCAACCUGGGAACUGCAUUCGAAACUGGCAGGCUAGAGUCUUGUAGAGGGGGGUAGAAUUCCAGGUGUAGCGGUGAAAUGCGUAGAGAUCUGGAGGAAUACCGGUGGCGAAGGCGGCCCCCUGGACAAAGACUGACGCUCAGGUGCGAAAGCGUGGGGAGCAAACAGGAUUAGAUACCCUG